rnacentral:rRNA from 1 species
UACGGGGGGGGCAAGCGUUGUUCGGAAUUACUGGGCGUAAAGGGCUCGUAGGCGGCCAACUAAGUCGGACGUGAAAUCCCCUCGGCUUAACCGGGGAAACUGCCGUCCGAGUACUGGGAAUGGCUUGAGAUUGGGAGGAGGGAUAGCGGAAUUCCAGGUGUAGCGGUGAAAUGCGUAGAUAUCUGGAGGAACACCGGUGGCGAAGGCGGCAUCCUGGACCAACACUGACGCUGAUGAGCGAAAGCCAGG